GGCGUAGAGGGCUCGCAGGCGGUUUCUUAAGUCUGAUGUGAAAGCCCCCGGCUCAACCGGGGAGGGUCAUUGGAAACUGGGGAACUUGAGUGCAGAAGAGGAGAGUGGAAUUCCACGUGUAGCGGUGAAAUGCGUAGAGAUGUGGAGGAACACCAGUGGCGAAGGCGACUCUCUGGUCUGUAACUGACGCUGAGGAGCGAAAGCGUGGGGAGCGAACAGGAUUAGAUACCCUGGUAGUCCACGCCGUAAACGAUGAGUGCUAAGUGUUAGGGGGUUUCCGCCCCUUAGUGCUGCAGCUAACGCAUUAAGCACUCCGCCUGGGGAGUACGGUCGCAAGACUGAAACUCAAAGGAAUUGACGGGGGCCCGCACAAGCGGUGGAGCAUGUGGUUUAAUUCGAAGCAACGCGAAGAACCUUACCAGGUCUUGACAUCCUCUGACAAUCCUAGAGAUAGGACGUCCCCUUCGGGGGCAGAGUGACAGGUGGUGCAUGGUUGUCGUCAGCUCGUGUCGUGAGAUGUUGGGUUAAGUCCCGCAACGAGCGCAACCCUUGAUCUUAGUUGCCAGCAUUCAGUUGGGCACUCUAAGGUGACUGCCGGUGACAAACCGGAGGAAGGUGGGGAUGACGUCAAAUCAUCAUGCCCCUUAUGACCUGGGCUACACACGUGCUACAAUGGACAGA
rnacentral:rRNA from 1 species